rnacentral:lncRNA from 1 species
AAAACAUCAUUAUUGAUUUCCUUUUGCAACCUGCUGGCCUUGCUCAACCUCUGGGCUCAUCAGGUUACAAAACAUGCUCCCCACACAGCCAAGAGGAGACUCAGAGCCCCCGUGUGCACUUCACAUCCUUGCUGGAAAUCUCUGGGGAGAACAGGCUUUCUGCUCAGCCCUUCCUGGAGCAUUGAGAAGUCCCGAAAGCCAGCUCCAGGGAGCAGCUGUAAAUUUGCUGGCAGUCAGUAGCUUCUGGCUGUGGAGUGCUAGCUGUCCUCAGAUAUCUUCAUACUAAAAGAAAGACCUCCAAGGGUGGCACCAGUACAUCACGAAACCUACUAAAAGUCCACUGGAAAUCUUUGCUUGG